rnacentral:lncRNA from 1 species
GCCAGGGGUCCCUCUGAUAAAGUUACUGUUUAUGGUUCGCCCUGCUUUAUCGAAAGUGAAUGUGAUGGCGUCUGUUUUAGAUUAAGAGGGAAAAGAAACAAGAUAAUAAAGGUUUUGUCCAACGGCAGCAGCAUUUCUCAAUUCGGCGAGCUCGAUAUCAUGCAUGCCUAAUUGAAAUCACCGAUAUAUUUCUGAGUAAAUAAUUUGCCAUAUAUUGCUGCACUUAGGUGCUUCUACCCUACAUAAAGUUGCCGGCGAGGGUUAAAAAAAUGUACCCACCCUAUCCAGGGGGACUCUUUGAAACACCGUGUCCGGUGUCCCUGAUGUCAGCCGGUGGUCAAUGGACAGUUUUGAGUUUAGCGCCCCCGGAAACCAGGGGGAACCUUUGUAAAAACGAUCGUAGCAGAAGACUACAAAAUAACGAUAAACUAAAGGCGACAUGGUAGCAAAUACUUUUGUUUAUCCCCCUCCGCUCCGGGCCUCCGCUAUUGGUUAGCGGCCAAACAUCGGCCAUCACAACUUCAUCCGGUUGGUUGACAGAAGAUUAAGACAAACAAGUCACGUUAUUGGUUUUCCGUUCUCCUGAUUGGGAAUGAUGUUGAUCAUGGGAUCUGGACAUUUUGUCCUCCUGAAAACAAAACAUUCAAUGGCAAAAUAAAUAUUUUUUUUUUUCGGUUAA